rnacentral:rRNA from 1 species
UACGUAGGAGGCGAGCGUUGUCCGGAAUUAUUGGGCGUAAAGGGUAGGUAGGUGGUCUCAUUUGUCUGGGGUGAAAGCCUUGAGCUUAACUCAAGAAGUGCCCCGGAAACGGUGAGACUGGAGUCCCGGAGAGGGUCGUGGAAUUCCCGGUGUAGCGGUGAAAUGCGUAGAGAUCGGGAGGAACACCAGAGGCGAAGGCGGCGACCUGGACGGGCACUGACACUCAACUACGAAAGCGUGGGGAGCAAACAGG